AGUGAACGCUGGCGGUAGGCCUAACACAUGCAAGUCGAACGGCAGCACAGUAAGAGCUUGCUCUUACGGGUGGCGAGUGGCGGACGGGUGAGGAAUACAUCGGAAUCUACUUUUUCGUGGGGGAUAACGUAGGGAAACUUACGCUAAUACCGCAUACGGCCUACGGGUGAAAGCAGGGGAUCUUCGGACCUUGCGCGAUUGAAUGAGCCGAUGUCGGAUUAGCUAGUUGGCGGGGUAAAGGCCCACCAAGGCGACGAUCCGUAGCUGGUCUGAGAGGAUGAUCAACCACACUGGAACUGAGACACGGUCCAGACUCCUACGGGAGGCAGCAGUGGGGAAUAUUGGACAAUGGGCGCAAGUCUGAUCCAGCCAUACCGCGUGGGUGAAGAAGGCCUUCGGGUUGUAAAGCCCUUUUGUUGGGAAAGAAAAGCAGCAGGUUAAUACCCCGCUGUUCUGACGGUACCCAAAGAAUAAGCACCGGCUAACUUCGUG
rnacentral:rRNA from 1 species